rnacentral:rRNA from 1 species
UACGUAGGGGGCAAGCGUUGUCCGGAUUUAUUGGGCGUAAAGAGCGUGUAGGCGGUUUGGUAGGUCCGUUGUGAAAACUCGAGGCUCAACCUCGAGACGCCGGCGGAAACCAUCAGGCUAGAGUCCGGAAGAGGAGAGUGGAAUUCCUGGUGUAGCGGUGAAAUGCGCAGAUAUCAGGAAGAACACCCGUGGCUAAGGCGGCUCUCUAGUACGGUACUGACGCUGAGGCGCGAAAGCGUGGGGAGCGAACAGG